AUAGAAAUGGUACAAUGUCUGUUUGACACACAAAGCUAAAUGUGCUUGUCUACAAAAUUGUCGUUCCAACUAGUUUGAGAGGUCAAGAAAAUUGAAUAACAGAUGACAAUAGCUCUCCUAAAAGCAGUUGUUGCCAAGGUCCUGCCUAAGAAAAUAGGGAAGCUCUUUUAACAGUGACAUAAUAUCCUAAAGCAUGUCAACCAAUACCGCAAAGUGUGAUGUAGAUCAAGAUUGGCAGCUCAAUGAUAUAUGAGAUGGUGCACCGCUUAAGAAAUCACAUUAGCCAGACCUCCACAGAGAACUUUGGUUAUAUUACUUGCUCAAAGUAUUCAUUCCCAAGUCAAAAUUUUGACAGUAUUCACACAUGAGAUUGAUCACAUAUUCAGUGAGGGUAGAAGGGAAAUACUCUUCUUCAGGGUUUUCCGUGCUCGCCAGUGAAUGGCUGCUGCAGUUUCUGAUGUUCCCAACUUGACUUCCAUAUUAUAAUAGUCUUGCCACAAUCUGACAUCUUGAUCAUAAGUUGUAAGUGAAGUUUCAAAUAGUUUUCGCACAUUUCCAAGACUAAUCUUAUCUCCACUAGACGCAAGGUUCAAUUCCAGCUCAAUGCAAUUCCUGUACAAAGAAAGUCCUGGAUGCGGUAAAGCAAGAAAUCUCUUAUACAACUCUCUAGCACUCCCAAGUCCAUCCCUUUGCAGAACAAAAUUGACGAUGGUAGCAGAGAGGGAAAAACCAUCAUCACUUCCACCAUCUUUGGCCAGUAAAGAUAUAGAAGUCUCAACCAACUUGUCAAAGAAUUUCUUAUGAGUGGAAAAAUAUUUGAGCGCCAUAAGCCAUAUAGUUUCUGCUUCUGAUAUGGGAAGUUUCAACAAAGCAUUUCUCAUGGGUUCAAAGAUAGAAGACAGAGCUGCCUUAUUUGGAGUACAGUUCUUCUGGAUAAAUCUCAUUUCUAUUGAGAAUCGUAAAGUCCAUAGCUGCACUGCUUCUGAAAAUUUUCCAGAACACAAUUUCUCCGCCAAAGUCUUAGCUUCAUCUACUUUCCCAAGUUGCAGUAGAAAAGAAACAUGCUGGCAAGCAAGAUCUUCUGUGAUGCACCCCAUGGUUUCAGCCUUUUCAUAUACUACCAAGAGAUGUGAAAUAGGAUCCAUAGCAUGACUAGCUGUACUGAAAAGCUCAG
rnacentral:misc_RNA from 1 species